rnacentral:rRNA from 1 species
GUGGGGAAUCUUGCGCAAUGGGCGAAAGCCUGACGCAGCCAUGCCGCGUGAAUGAUGAAGGUCUUAGGAUUGUAAAAUUCUUUCACCGGGGACGAUAAUGACGGUACCCGGAGAAGAAGCCCCGGCUAACUUCGUGCCAGCAGCCGCGGUAAUACGAAGGGGGCUAGCGUUGCUCGGAAUUACUGGGCGUAAAGGGCGCGUAGGCGGACAGUUUAGUCAGAGGUGAAAGCCCAGGGCUCAACCUUGGAAUUGCCUUUGAUACUGGCUGUCUUGAGUAUGGAAGAGGUAUGUGGAACUCCGAGUGUAGAGGUGAAAUUCGUAGAUAUUCGGAAGAACACCAGUGGCGAAGGCGACAUACUGGUCCAUUACUGACGCUGAGGCUCGAAAGCGUGGGGAGCAAACAGGAUUAGAAACCCUAGUAGUCC